GGGGAAUAUUGGACAAUGGGCGAAAGCCUGAUCCAGCCAUGCCGCGUGAGUGAUGAAGGCCCUAGGGUUGUAAAGCUCUUUUGUGCGGGAAGAUAAUGACGGUACCGCAAGAAUAAGCCCCGGCUAACUUCGUGCCAGCAGCCGCGGUAAUACGAAGGGGGCUAGCGUUGCUCGGAAUCACUGGGCGUAAAGGGUGCGUAGGCGGGUCUUUAAGUCAGGGGUGAAAUCCUGGAGCUCAACUCCAGAACUGCCUUUGAUACUGAAGAUCUUGAGUUCGGGAGAGGUGAGUGGAACUGCGAGUGUAGAGGUGAAAUUCGUAGAUAUUCGCAAGAACACCAGUGGCGAAGGCGGCUCACUGGCCCGAUACUGACGCUGAGGCACGAAAGCGUGGGGAGCAAAC
rnacentral:rRNA from 1 species